AUGUCGACUACCUUGCUAAAGAGAAGUUGACUCGCGAUCGAGGUUAAGACUGUAUUAAUUACGGCCACGACGAAUAGCCUGAACGAUUAGCAGCGCUCCGCUCGGUCAUUUAAUUAAUUUUCACUGUUUGCCGAAGCCGCGUUUGUCGAGUCGGCUCAUCGAUCAAUCGUUCGAAGAAUGCCGUCCAUUGUAAAAGAUAGAGCCGGCUCUCGUAGACAAAAGGGUACUCCGGAGGAUAAAACGAGAGGUUAUUAAUCUUGCAACUUGCUUUUGACGGUCACGGAUGCAGUCUUUAUUGAGAAAGUGGGCUGGCGUGUUGCUGCAUCUACUUUGAUUCUAUAGCUUUGUCGUCGGAUCAACACGAUGAAUUCGAAUGGAGUCUUUCGAAUUUAUUAGAACUAUUCUUCCCAAACGAAAGAUACAAAGGAUGAAGACUAAGGGAUGUUUCCCUUAAGUAAGAAACAACUGUUUGGGACGAAUUUAUCGAUCACCUGACUGAGCAGUUCUUUUUACGACUUAGUUACAAAGACAUCAAGUUAUCCGGAUGACAAAAAGGACCACUUAUUAAUCUCGGUAGAAAGGUUGGACAUGAUAGGCUCCGUGUUAAACGAUUCCACGUUUGUGGGGAAUAACCUAUUCGUAAGCCAUGGCCCGCCGUUUUACUCUCGGUCUUUUCUUUCCCCUUUAAUACCUUAUCUUUUUUGUUCUAUGACAUCCACAGUUCUUUUCGGUAUUUUAGUAGUACGAAAAAAAGAUGGACAUAAAAUAAAUAAAUUAGAAAUAAGAUUUGAAAUAAGAAAAAUAAUAUUUCUUAACGUGUAUUUUUGAAUACAUUUUGCAAAAAACUUAAAUAAUGAACUUCAAUAAUAGUAUAAAGACAUAUUUGCAGUGUUUCGAUCACAAUUAUACUAUUAUCCAAUUAAUUAUAAUUGCUAUUUGAUAACACUAGCAGGAAAAGCCGAAUCAAAAUGCUCCAUAAAAAGAUUAGAAAAUAUCGUUUUCAUAAAUACAAUUGUUUGCAGUCUUUUCAUUAAAAAGAAACAUAGAUAUUUUCCUACAUUUACUGAUGAUAGUAAAUUAUUUUUAAUACAGAUAAUUAUUUGAUGAUCGUUUCGAAAAUAUAGGAAAGAUAUAUUUAAUAGAACUAGACAUAACACUGGUAAUCAUAGUGCUAAAGAAUGUGAUUUAUAAAUAACUCUUCAUAAACAUAAAAUAUUUAAAAGAACAUUGUAUACCAUGUAUUAGUAAUGUACUGCCAUAACGUACAUGAUACAGUACUGCAAUAAUGUAGGAAGUGAAAGCAAAAAGGUUCAUUCCGAACUUGUAGAUUUCAAAUAAGAUAUCCACUGUAUAAUGCUGCCUCUAUUAUAUACCGAUUCCCUUUCCUUGAUCCCUUGCCACCCUUGUCAUCGGUCAGGAUCAGGAUCCUCUGAAAAUCCCACCAGUGUCUAGCCCACAGUUUCACCCUUGAAUUUCUUUUGAAGCCAGAAAACGAAUGAGAGGGAGAGUGAAUUGGCGAAAGAGAAGGUCAAUGACCCCGCAAGAUUCUAAGCUCGCUUUCAUAGCAACUAUAUCUGAACAGGAAACUCGGUUACCUCGAAGGAAUUUCGGUAAAAUAUAAAAAGUGUAGCCGAAGAUCUAUACAAUGAUCAUUCGUUCAUUACAAUAAUUACAAAAAUUCCAUAAUGUGGUCUUUUCCCUUAAUUUCACGCGAUAAAUGUCUUUGAGGAUUCAUUGUUCAGCGAAUGAGUUUUGACUCUUUUUCUUUUUUGAAA